rnacentral:rRNA from 1 species
UACGUAGGUGGCAAGCGUUGUCCGGAUUCACUGGGCGUAAAGCGCGCGCAGGCGGUCUUCUACGUCUGGGGUGAAAACCCGGGGCUCAACCUCGGGACUGCCUUGGAUACGGGAAGACUUGAGGAUCGGAGAGGCAAGGGGAAUUCCACGUGUAGCGGUGAAAUGCGUAGAGAUGUGGAGGAACACCUGUGGCGAAGGCGCCUUGCUGGCCGAUUUCUGACGCUGAGGCGCGAAAGCGUGGGGAGCAAAUAGG